AUUGAACGCUGUCGGCAGGCCUAACACAUGCAAGUCGAGCGAGCGGCGGACGGGUGAGUAAUGUCUGGGAAACUGCCUGAUGGAGGGGGAUAACUACUGGAAACGGUAGCUAAUACCUCAUACCAUGAGAUGUGUCCCGCUGGGAUUAGCUAGUAGGUGGGGUAACGGCUCACCUAGGCGACGAUCCCUAGCUGGUCUGAGAGGAUGACCAUCCACACUGGAACGGAGACACGGUCCAGACUCCUACGGGAGGCAGCAGUGGGGAAUAUUGCACAAUGGGCGCAAGCCUGAUGCAGCCAUGCAGCGUGUGUGAAGAAGGCCUUCGGGUUGUAAAGCACUUUCAGCGGGGAGGCGUUACUCGCAGAAGAAGCACCGGCUAACUCCGUGCCAGCCGCCGCGGUAAUUC
rnacentral:rRNA from 1 species